rnacentral:lncRNA from 10 species
GUAUAAGCUGAGAAUUUUAAUUUAAAGAAGACCAAAAUUGGUAGUGUCCCCAUGUCUGAUGGAAACAAACACAAAUUCUCCCAUGAAGAAUUUACAUUUAGGGCCUUGAAUAAUUUGCAUAUAGUUUUAAUGAGCAUAAAGUCACACACAUACAUAAACAUCAUGAAAAAUAUAGGGGAAUAAAGCACCAUUAGCAAGAGUCAGCAGAAACAAUAGAAAUAUUUAUAAAGAUUAUUAGAUUACUGGAACUAUCAGAUACAGAAUAUAAAGCUGUUUGAUAUGUUUACAUAAAUAAAUGAAAAAAAUUUUAAACAUAAUUAUAAUUCAUAACCACCAAAUGACAAUGCAUUUUUGAAAAACAACAAAAUAUAAUAAUUAAAAUUGAAAACUUAAUGGAGCUUUUGCUUUUUGGACAUAGCAAUAGCAAGCCAUUACUCCACCAUAACUUAGGAAGUAAGCACAUUGUAUAUAUUUUUUUCUUUGAAGACACUGGAGACCGAUGUAAGCAAUGACUUAGCUUAACUAAAAUUCUUAAGAAGGAAAAACAUUUCCUGAGUGAGCUGGCCUUAUUCUCUGAGGUCAUUUCUCAAACAUGAGAGCUGAGGACUGGGCCCUGCUAAAGGUACUGGCAUCUCUACUAGAGGAAAGAGAAUCCAACAGACAUUUUGACAGCCAUUGGGAUGGCAUGACGGAUUGGAAUCUAGAAAAACCCCCAAAUGCAUGGCCAGUUUGCCCUAUGGGGCAUUUGCUGAGUACUAGGGCAGCAUGGAAGGGUGGAAGGUGGGGCUAGGAAGGCGAGAAAGACAAGGUUAAACCUUUCAUAGUCUUUUUUUUUUUUUUUUUUUUUUGAGACAGGGUCUCACUCUGUCACCCAGGCUGGAGUGCUGUGGUGCAAUCACAACUCACUGCAGUCUCGACCUCCUGGGAUUAAGUGAUCCUCCAGGCUCAGCUUCCUGAGUAGCUGGGAUCACAGGCAUGCACCACUACGCCUGGUUAAUUUUUGUAUUUUUACAAGAGACAGGGUUUCACCAUAUUGCCCAGGCUGGCCUCUAACUUCUGGGCUCAAUCGGUUGGUCCACCUCAGCCUCCCAAAGUGCUGGGGUUACAGGUGUGAGCCACAGAGUCUGGCCCCUUUCAUAGUCUUGAUAUGCUUGGAAACAAAAUUCUGAGAAAGACAAGUCCACAAUAAACAUAUGGCAGGCCUCAUUCUGUAGACAUUUGAAACUACAGGGCACUGAAUCUAAUCAAGGUGGCUUCCUAGCCCUAGCCCAGUUCAAUUCCUAAUAAAGUGAUGAGUUCUCACCCUACUCAGCAGGGAAAGGACAAACUCUCUAUGGAGGAAAAUAUGACCAACUUCAGUCUUUAUGGUUCUUUAAAAAUAGAAUGUCUGCUGUACACUUAAAAAAAAUUAUGGAACAUGCAAGGAAGCAGAAAAAUGUAACUGACGAAGAGAAAAAAAAAAAACACAGAAGCAGACCCCACAGAUUAUUCAAAUGUAAAAGUAAUCAGACAAGGAUUUUAAAACAACUAUCAUGAAAAUUUAUGAAAGUAGAGGAAAAGAACAAAAUGUGUGAAAAGGGAGAAUUUUAAUAGAGAAUUGGAAUUUACUCAUCUGUUUUUGAGAUGGAGUCUUGCUCUGUUGCCCAGGCUGGAGAGCAGUGGUGCCAUCUCAGCUCACUGCAACUUCCGCCUCCUGGGUUCAAGUGAACCUCCUGCCUUAGCCUCAUGAGUAGCUGGGGCUACAGGUGUGUACCACCACACCCAGAUAAUUUUUGUAUUUUUAGUAGAGACGGUGUUUUGCCAUGUUGGCCAGGCUGGUCUCGAACUCCUGACCUCAGAUGAUCCGCCUGCCUCGGCCUCCAAGAAUUGGAAAUUAUGUAAAAGAAGCAAAUGAACAUUCCAGACACGAAAAGUACAAUACCUGAAAUUAAGAGCUCAUUUGAUGGAUUUAACAGCAGACUAUACCCUAAAUAUAGUAGGAUUUGUGAAUUUGAAAGAUACAUAGUAGAAAAUAAGGUAAACUAAGCUAAGCUAAACCGUUCUUACCAUAUGAUCCAGUAAUCAUACUCCUUAGUCUUUACUCAAAUGAGUUAAAAAAAACUUUUGUCCACAAAAAUAUGCACAAAUGUUUAUAGCAGCUUUGUUUAUAAUUGCCAGAACUGGAAGCAACUAAGAUGUCCUUCCAAAACUGGAAGCAACCAAGAUGUGAAUGAACAAAGUGUGAUACAUCUGUACAAUGGAGUAUUAUUUAGUGAUAAAGGAAAUGAGCUAUCAAACCUUAAAAAGCCAUGAAUCUUAAAUGCAUACUGCUAAGUGAAAGCUGCUUGUCUGAAAAGGCUACAUACUGUGUGAUUCCAAGUAUCUAAGACUCUGGAAAAAGCAAAGCAGUAGAGACAGUCAAAAGAUCAGUGGCUGCCAGAGGAUUGGGGAUGGAGGAAAAGAGAGGGAUGAAUGGGUGGAGCACAGGGGAGUAAAACUAUUCUGACAUUAAAAUGGCAGAUAUAUAAAUGCAUUUGCUAAAACCCAUAGAAAAGCAUGGCACCUAAUGUAAACUGUACUCAGUUGUUAACAGUGUAACCAUAUGAGUUCAUCAGUGGUAACAAAUACAAGAUAAUAGUGAAAACUCUACGGGUAGGGAAUUCUGUACUUGCUGCUCAAUUUUUUCUGUAAACCUAAAACUGCUCUAAAAUGCAGUACAAUUUACUAAUUUGUUUUAAAAAACAGUUAAUAGAAACUAUCUAAACCAAAGCAUAGAGAGGAAAAAAGAAAACCAUGGAGGCUUCUGGCAGUAUAGCUAAAAAAUCCUAGAUUCCAGCUAAAUUAGAAUAAGUAUGAAGAGUGGCCACAAAUACCCUAGGUAUGCUAGUGAGAAAUUAUCUGUAUUUCUCCUCUGUUCUCUGUAGAAAUUUAAAUUUUCCCCAUGCUGUUUUAUCAUCUACCUCAUAUCAUACUGAAUCCCUACCUAGAAAAAUGUAAAACACAUAAUUAGCUCAGGAGCCAAACUCCUGCAUAAUUAAUCUGUUACCACCCUAUACAUUUUAAUGCAAGGCUGAAUUCACAAGAUAUAAAUGAAAUUCUCCAAGGACAAGAAAUCAAAACAAAAGGGAAAAAACCCUGAAGUCAGAACUAGAGGCAGUGAGCAGUAAAAGAAUAGGAAAUCAGGGGUUGCCCCUUGGGGAUAAUGGCAAAACCCACUGAAAUCACUAGAAGGUAAGAGAACCAAGCCUGAGAUUCCUGCACUGGGGUUAGAGCAGUGCCAGCCUGGUAGCAGCUCCAGGUUGGUGAAAGCAACAAAAGAAAGCCAAUAUCUGAAGAAGAGCAUCCCAGUUUAGCCCUCAGAAUUAGCUUCCCCAGAUUAAAAUUAAACAAACAGGACUUCAAAAUAAAAACGCCAGCCUGGUGCAGUGGCUCACACCUAUAAUCCCAGCACUUUGGGAUGCCAAGGCAGGCGGAUUGCUUGAGCCCAGAAGCUCGAAACCAGCCAUGGGCAACAUAACAAGACCCCGUCUCAAAGGAAAUACAAAAAUUAGUCAGGCAUGGUGGCACCCACCUGUAGUCCCAGCUACUUAGGAGGCUGAGGUGGAAGGACUGCUUGAGCCUAAAAGCUCAAGGCUGCAGUGAGCCAUGAUUGUGCCACUGCACUCAGGCCUGGGCAACAUAGCGUGACCCUGUCUCAAAAAGUGGAAAUACCAAACAAAGAAGAAAAGUAAAGCACUUUGAGUGAGAAAGUGCCACCAGAAAUACAAACAAUGGGUUUAGACUCCUAAGAAUUUAAGAUAUUGGUAUUAUCAGAUAUGGACCAUAAAAUACCAAUGUAGUACACAGUUACGUAAACUUUUAGCACUGAAUUUUAAAAAUGAGCAAGUAAUAAAAAACUAUUAGGACUGACCAGGCAGGUUUAAAUGAGAGCCAAACAGAUUCUUUCCCCCGGGCUCCCAAAAGACAGGGUCUUGCUCUGUUGCCCAGGCUGGAGUGCAGUGGUGCGAUCAUAGCUCACUGCAGCCUCAACCUCCUGGGCUCAAGGGAUCCUCCUGCCUUAGCCUCCCAAGUAGCUAUGACUAUAGGUGAGCGCCACCAUGUCUGGUCAAUUUUUAAAUUUUUUGAAGAGAUGGGGGGGUCUUACUUUGUUGCCCAGGCUGGUCUUGAACACCUCGCCUCAAGGAAUCUUCCCACCUUGGCCUCUCAAAGAGCUGGGAUUACAGGCAUGAGCCACUGUGCCUGGCCCCAAAUAGAACUUUUUAAAAUGAAAAACAUUUUAAAUUAAAAUUAUAGUGAAUGGUUUUAACAGCAGAAAAGGUGUGAAAAAUUAUAGAAAUGCAAUAUAGAUGUGAAGAAAUGAUGCAGCAUGCAGCUCAGGGAGAGAAGGGUGGAAAGUAUAAAUGUGAGAUUAAAAGGGAAUGGGCCAGGCUCGGUGGCUGACGCCUGUAAUCCCAGCAUGAUUUUGGAGGCCGAGGUGGGUGGAUCAUUUGAGGUCAGGAGUUUGAGACCAGCCUGGCCAACAUGGUGAAACCCCACCUCUACUAAAAAAAAUACAAAAAUUAGGCAGGCAUGGUGGUGGGCGCUUGUUGUCCCAGCACUUGGGAGGCUGAGGCAGGAGAAUCGCUUGAACCCAGGAGGCGGAGGUUGCAGUGAGCCAAGAUUGCGCCACUGCACUCCAGCCUGGGUGACAGAGUAAGACACUGUCUCAAAACAAACAAACAAACAGAAAAACAGAAUGAAGACUUGGCACUUGUAACUUGAGUCUCAGAUAGAUACAAUGAGAUAAUGCCUGAUAAAUUUUCAGAAAUGACAAAAGGCAUGAAUUCAUAGAUACAGGAAGCAUACUGUAAACCAGGUAGAAUAAAUAAAGAGUUCCACACUUAGACACCUUGGCAUGAAACUGAGGAACACCAAGUCAAAAGGUAUUGCCAAAGAGGCCAGAGAUAUAUCACCUACAACAAAAGGCACCAUACUGAUUUCUGAAAAACAACAAUGGAAGCCAGAAGUCAGUAAUAUGAUCCAGUAUUUCAUUAACUUUAAGAUGCCAUCAAUGCUAAAUCACACCACUAUUUUAUACAGCACCAGUAAAGAAAAAAAGUAAUGUCAAAUUAUGAUAUGCACCAGAAUAUCUCAAAUGUAGGAAAUAAAGGUAUACAAGGAACUUGAUAAACAGGUGGUAAUUUAUUUUAUACAAAAAUGUGUGUAUAAGAUAAUAAAAAUGUCUAACUUAUGGGGUUCUAAAAAUCAGAGGUUAGUCAGAGGUUAGAAUAUUGGCCUACAAUAGCAUGUAAGUAGGGAAGGGGUUGAUCAGACUUAUGAUGUUCCAAAGUCCAUUAUAAGUAAAGAACGGGUUAUGAUACCAGAUAACUUUAGAUUGUAUUGAGUAUGCAUUGAAAAAGUUCAGGAGUAAACACAAGAAAAAUAUAAAUAGAAUGUAAAACUUUAAACCUAGUACAGAGGGAGAAAUGGAAUAAUAACAAUAAUAAAACCAAACAGCCAAUCAAUAAGUAAUGGAAAAAACGCAUAAAAGAGAAACAAAUAGUACAAAAUAACAUGAUAGAAGUCUUCAUGUUUUAAGAAUUAUAAUAAAUGUAAAUGGAAUAAAGUUGUCUACUAAAGGGUAGAGAUGGCCAAAUGAAAAGCCAAAAUCCAGAUUUAUUUGACUUACAAGAGACAAAACUAAACCAUCAACACGUAGGAGGUAAAAGGAUUUAAAGAUAUACACUAAAUACCAACCAAAGCUAUAUUGAGAUAACAGAAAACAGAUUUUUAUUUGCUAAGGCAAAAAGCAUUAGCAAUAAGGAAGUCACUACAUAACAAGAAGAGUUCAACUCACCAGGACAACACAAGAAUUCCACACUUUAUUCACUCAAUAGAAUGUAUAAAGUUAAAACUGAUAAAAGAGGGGAAAUUGUCAAAUCUACCAUUACAGUAGGAGAAUUCAAAAUACCUUUAUCAAUUAUUAAUAGGUCAGACAAAAGUUAGUAAAGAUAUGAAAGAUUUGAACAACACAAUUAACAAGCAGUGCCACAUAUGUAGAAAACAAUCAGAGGCCAGGUGCCUUGGCUUACGCCUGUAAUCCCAACACUUCGGGAGGCCAAGGCCGGAGGAUCAUUUAAGCCCAGGAGUUCCAGACCAGCUUGGGCAACAUACCCAGCUACUCAGGAGGCUGAGGUGGGAGGACUGCUUAAGCCCAGGAUGUUGAGGCUGCAGUGAGCCAAGAUCAUGCCAUCGUACAUGCCUAGGGGACACAGUGAGACCAGUUUCCAAAAAAAAAAAGGAAACAUAAUUAGGAAGCACAUGUGAAACACUUAAAAAACUGGCCAUACUGUGGCUGGGUGCGGUGGUUCACGCCUGUACUCCCAGCACUUUGGGAGGCCGAGGCGGGCGAAUCACGAGGUCAGGAGUUUGAAACCAGCCUGGCCAACAUGGUGAAACCCCGUCUCUACUAAAAAUAUAAAAAAUUAGCUGGGAGUAGUGGCGGACGCCUGUAAUCCCAGCUACUCGGGAGGCUGAGGCAGGAGAAUCGCUUGAACCCGGGAGGCGGAGGUUGCAGUGAGCUGAGAUCGUGCCACUGCACUCCAGCCUGGCGACAGAGCAAGACCGUGUCUCAAAAAAAAAAAAAAAAGGAAAAAAAAGUGGCCACACCUGGACGUAAAACAAGUCUCAAAAAUUUUCUAGCUAGGUGUGAUGACUCAUGCCUAGAAUCCUAGCUACUUGGGAGGCUGAGGCAGGAUUGCAGGAGGCCAGGUGUUCAAGACCAGCCUGGGCAACAUACUGAGACCCCCAUCUUUAAAAAUAAAAAUUAUAAAGCCAGUGCCUAUAGUCCUAGCUAUUCAGGAGGCUGAAGAGGGAGGAUCACUUGUAAGAGCCCAGGAGUUUGAGGCUGCAGUGAGCCAUGGUCACGCCACUGCACUCCAGUCUGGGCAACAGAGAGAGACCCUGACACUAAACAAACAAACAAAACCUCUAAUAGGUAAUACAAUUUACAUUUGUGUUUCCUGGGGCUGCUGGAACAAAUUUAUCACAAACUCAGUGGUUUAAAACAACAGAAAUUUAUUCUCACAGUUCCCUGGAGACCAGAAGUCCAAAAUGAGUGUUACUACACCAAAAUCAAAUUGUUGGUGGGAUGCUUCAUCCUCCAGAAUUUCUAGGAGAGAAUCUGUUCCUUGACCCUUCCUUUUUUUUUUUUUUUUUUUUUUUUUUUUUUUGUGGCUACUGAUAUUCCUUGGUUUGUGGCUGCAUCACUCCAGUCCUCACCUUCAUGAUCACACUGCCUUCUCCUCUUCUGUCUGCAAUCUCCCUGCCUCUGAUUAAAGACACUUGUGAUUGCAUUUAGGACCUACCUAGAUAAUCCAAGAAAAUCUCCCCAUCUCAAGAUCUCCAAUUUAAUCACAUCUGCAAACACCUCAUUUCCACGUAAGGUAACAUAGGGUUCAUGGAUUAGGACCUGAUGUCUUGGGGGCCAUUAUUCAGCCUACUACAACAUAUAUUUAUAUACUUGUGCCUGGAUGAGUUCUCAGUACUUUAAGUGUCUUAACUUCCUCUCAAACAAUAUAUGACAUAGGUGCUAUUAUUUCCAUUUUUCAGAUGGUAAAGCUGAGGCAGAGAAAGGCUAUAAAAAUUUGCCCAGGCUUUAUCAUACUCGCAUGUUCUUUGACCACAUGCAAUUAGUUAGAACAAAAGCUAUUUUUAAACUUUCUAUUCUGAAAUGAUUCCAGAUUUACAGUAAAUCUGCAAAACAGUACAAAGUAUCCAUAUACCUCCACAUAGAUUUUCCAAAGGUUAACAUCUGACCCCAUUUACUCUACCAUUUUCUCUCUCUAUAAUUUUUCCUAAACCUUUUGUGAUUCAGUUGCAUAUCAAUAUUCCGUUAACCCUAAACGCUCCAGUGUCUAUUUCCUAAAAAACAAGGACUUUUUCAAGGAACCAUGACAUUAUUAUCAAAAUCAGGAAGUCACACUGAUAUAAUGCUAUUAAUAAUUUACAGACCUUACUCAAAUUUUACCGAAUGUCUCAAAAAUGUCCGAAAGAACAAAAGUUUAAAAAAUGCUUUCUUGACCAAGAUCCAGUCCAGAAACACGUGCUGCAGGUACUUGUCACGUCACUUUAGUCUCCUUUAACUUGAAAUUUUUGAGAAGUAUAGGCUGGUAACUUUGUAGGAUAUUCCUCAUUUUAUCUUUUUCUGAUAUUUCUCUCUACUAUGUUCAUGUUAUGCAUUUUUGGCAGGAAUAUCACAUAAUUAAUGUUGUGUCUUCAGCACAUUUUAUCAGGAUUCACAAAAUAUAAAAUUGUCUUAUUAAUAGUGAUAUUAACAUUACAAAAUUUUUUUGAAAAGGAAAUACAUUUAUAAAACUCUUAAGUCUGUGCAUUUAAAAAUACUGUAAAAUAAUUAACAGGUCAAAUAAAUCAUAAUGUAAAGAUAUGAAUGGAAAAGCAAUAAAAAUGUGUAUAUAUACAUGUUUGUAUACAUGCAUACACUCAAUCAUGGGGUGAGGCAAAGGAGGUAAUUCAAAUAAACUCAGAUACUUACUAAAAAUAGAAAAAACCUUGAACAUGAAUGAGUUAAAUGUCCAAUUUAUGAAAUGAGAAAACAACAGAACAAACCAUCAGAAAGCAGAACAUAAAAGAGAAGGGCAGAGAGAAUGAACAAAGCUAAGACUGGUUCUUUAAAAAAAUAAAAUAGACAAACUUCUGGUAAAACGGCCAAGGAAAAGAAAGUGAGAAGAUACAAACAGUAUCGGAAAAGGAAGUAUGCAUAUCCAGGAGAGGUUUAGAAAUAAGAAAAUUCCUUAAGCUACUUUAUGCUAAUAAAUUGUAAAAUGGGUAAAUGCUUAGAUUUUUUUUCAAAAUUGACUCAAGAAAAAAAAAUAGAAUUCCUGAAUAGUCUAAUUAUAGUAGUUAAAGUCUUCCCACCAAUAAAUACCAGGGCCAGACAGCUUUAUAAACUUUUAACAAACAGAUCAUUCCAAUCUUUUGCAAAUUCUUAUGGAGAACAGGAAAAAAGGCAACACUUUCCAAUUCAUUUAAUGGAGUUAUAAUCUUGACACCAUAAACUGACCAAAAAAGUGUAAGAAAGGCAGACUGCAGGCCAAUUUCAUGUAGAUGCAAGAAUCCCAGGUAAAAUACUUGAAACAAACUGAUUUCAGUAGUGUAUAAAGAUAAGGAAAUAUAACCAAGAAUGGAGAAGUGAUUCUUGUCUACUCUAGUCUUUCUGUGUUCAAUCCUUUUUUUUUUCUUUUCUUUCUUUUUUUUUCUUUUUGAGAUGGUGUCUCACUCUGUCGCCUAGGUUGAAGUGCAGUGGCACAAUCUCGGCUCACUGCAACCUCCGCUUCCCAGGUUCAAGGGAUUCUCCCACCUCAGCCUCCUGAGUAGCUGGGACUACAGGUGUGCACCACUGAGCCCAGCUAAUUUUUGUAUUUUUUUUAGAGGCAGGGUUUCACCAUGUUGGCCAGGCUGGUCUUGAACUCCUGACCUCAUGAUCAGCCGGCCUCAGCCUCCCCAAAGUGCUGGGAUUACAGGCAUGAGCCACUGCGCCUGGCCCGUCUGUGUUCAAAUCUUAUCUAGUAUGCAUUAGAACAUAAAAUCAAGUCAACAUAAAGUUAAGUCUGAAAUUUUUACUUGACUAUUUUGAAGGUUUGGAGUAUACUGUUUUCUCUUUUAACAUAAUUUUUCUUUUCAUGUGCCUAGAAAAAUACAUUUUUACGUCAUCACCUUCACCCUGGAGUGUCAAAUACAAGUGGGUGCUUGCCAAGUUGAAGCAAUCAAAGCCACAGCUCAGAAGUUUUGAAAUUCUUAAGGGAUUUUCUAGCCAGAAUUACAACUGCUUUCUUUUUUUGAGACAGGGUCUUACUAUGUCACUCAGACUGGAGUGCAGUAGUAGUUCAAUCAUAGCUCACGGUAGCUUCUAAUCCCUGGGCUCAGGCAAUCCUCCUGCCUCAGCCUUCCAAGUAGCUGGGACUACAGGUGCGUGCCACCACACCUGGCUAAUUUUUUAUUUUUUAAUUUUUUUGUAGAGACAAGAGCUUGCUACGUUGCCCGGGCUGGGCUUGAACUCCCGGGCUCAAGCAAUCCUCCUGUCUCAGCCUCCCAAAGCAUUGAGUUUACAGGUGUAAGCCACUGUGCUUAGCCUACAACUAUUUUCUAACUGGGAUAAAAGAAAAAGAGAGUAUUUUGUAUACUUGCAAGAGAAUCCCUCCUCUAUCUACCACCACUACACUAAAACCAACUCACCAACCAACCAACCAACCAACUAACCAACCAAUGUGUGAAAGCAGAUAAAAUACUGUCCAGGUCAUUGUGGUGUCACCAUUUCUACAAUGAAAUGAGAGGAAAAAAGGGCAAACAAUGUGUUUUUCAUAAAGCUAUAUAUUUAUUCAACUUAAAUGACAACCUUUAUUCUGAGAUUACAUUCUUCCUAAUUUUAGGGGCUAAAAUAUAUUUUCUUUUACAUAAUGAUGCUGUUAAAAAUUAUAAUGCCAUUUCUAUGAAGUCAUUACUUUUAUAGGACUAGCCUGUGUCAUAUGUGUGAUCA